rnacentral:rRNA from 1 species
ACUCAAAUGAAUUGACGGGGGCCCGCACAAGCAGUGGAGCAUGUGGUUUAAUUCGAUGCAACGCGAAGAACCUUACCAGGGUUUGAAAAGCAAGAUUUCAGAGGAUGAAAGUCCUUUACCCGCAAGGGGUCUUGUACAGGUGCUGCAUGGCUGUCGUCAGCUCGUGCCGUGAGGUGUUAGGUUAAGUCCUGCAACGAGCGCAACCCCUACAUUUAGUUGCUACCAGGUAAUGCUGAGCACUCUAAAUGGACUGCCUACGCAAGUAGAGAGGAAGGUGGGGAUGACGUCAAGUCCUCAUGGCCCUUACACCCUGGGCCACACACGUGCUACAAUGGUAACUACAGAGGGCUGCAAUACCGCAAGGUGGAGCCAAUCCCAAAAAAGUUAUCUCAGUUCAGAUCGAGGGCUGAAACUCGCCCUCGUGAAGCUGGAAUUGCUAGUAAUCGCAGAUCAGAACGCUGCGGUGAAUACGUUCCCGGGCCUUGUACACACCGCCCGU